AUUGAACGCUGGCGGCAGGCCUAACACAUGCAAGUCGAGCGAGCGGCGGACGGGUGAGUAAUGUCUGGGAAACUGCCUGAUGGAGGGGGAUAACUACUGGAAACGGUAGCUAAUACCGCAUACCAUCAGAUGUGCCCAGAUGGGAUAAGCUAGUAGGUGGGGUAACGGCUCACCUAGGCGACGAUCCCUAGCUGGUCUGAGAGGAUGACCAGCCACACUGUAACUAGAACACGGUCAAGACUCCGACGGGGGGCAGCAGUGGGGAAUAUUGCACAAUGGGCGCAAACCUGAUGCAGCCAUGCCGCGUGUAUGAGGAAGGCCUUCGGGUUAUAAAGUACUUUCAGCGGGGAGGCGUUACCCGCAGAAGAGGCGCCGGCUAACUCCGUGCCAGCAGCCGCGGUAAUUC
rnacentral:rRNA from 1 species